AUCACUGAAGCUGCUCCCCAUUCCACCAACUCCACCACGAGUCAGCCGCCGCCUCCUCUUCUCAUCUGAGCGAUUGAGCCGCCGCCGGCGCCCGGCGCCACCGCAUUUCUCCCCCACCAGGCAGCCCCUCCGUCCUCGCCUUCACCGGCCGCCGACCGUCGCGCCGUCGCUAGUCUCGCCACAUCGCCAAGCAACUCAGCAGCGACCGUCGGUCCAUCCCGGCAUCUCGGCGCUCGGCGGCGCGCGUCUUCUCCACUUUGCCACAACGUCUUCCACUGAGCACUCAAGUCAACGUAGUGGUCCGAGGCACAAGGAAUCUAGCAUGCGAUGGAGCAUUUGGUCGAAUUAUACAGCGGGUGGGAAAUCCAACUUCUUGUACUGCUCAGCUUCACAUUGCAGUCGUUCCUCUUCUUUGCUGGCAGACUGCGGCGCCGAAGCAGCAACAGCUUUCUCAGGCUCUGCCUCUGGGCAGUUUAUUUGGGGGCAGACCUGGUAGCAGUGUAUGCACUGGGCUAUCUCUCUAAGCGCCAGGAUGUCACCAUUGAAACGAACAUACUUACAAGAACCCAACCACUAGCUUUCUUUUGGGCACCAUUCCUCCUCAUCCAUCUUGGUGGGCAGGAUACCAUCACUGCUUUCGCCAUGGAGGACAACAACUUGUGGUUGAGGCAUCUGUUGAAUCUGGUGAUGCAAGUUGCCCUAGCUUUAUAUGUUUUUUGGAAGUCCAUUGGUAAACACAGUGCAGACCUUCUGCUUGCGGGUAGCUUUGUGUUUGUUACUGGAAUUAUCAAGUAUGGAGAAAGAACAUGGUCUCUCAAGUGUGGCAGCCUUCAAAGUCUCGAGAGCUCAGAUGCACUGCGUUACAAAAUGGAACUGCCUGAAGGAAUCGCUGGUGAUGUUGGCGUUGUUCGUGCUGCUCUGGAUUCCAUGCCAUUUGUCCUUGAUGUCAUGGCCGAACGCAACUUGCUUGAUCUCGGCCGAGAAUAUAUGAACAAAAUAGAUGACCCUGAGCAAAUGAUACGGAUGGUGAGGCUUCAGCUUGGCAUGAUAUACGACGAUCUCUACACUAAGUCUCUUGUGCUCAGAACACGGAGUGGAGUUAUACUUAGAUGCAUCUCUCAGGCCUCGGUAAUAGUUUCCUUUGUCCUCUUCCAUGCAAGUAGCAGAGACAAUUAUAGCAAAGCUGACAUUGCCAUCACCUAUUCGCUAUUUGUGGGUUGUUUUUUCUUUGAAGUCAGUUCAACGUUUGUUUCCAUGUUGUCACCUUGGACAUGGGCAUGGUUGAAGGUUAGAAGGUGUGAUGCACUCGCCAGUUUGUGGGUUUUCUUUUGCUCUGACAUCGGAUAUCCAAGGACGAUGAAGCAGCAGCGGUGGCCAAAUUUGAUUGGACAGUACAACUUACAUAGCUGGUUGACUGACAGCGGCCCGAAGCAAAGCAUAAUAAUGGUUGUGUUCAGAAAGUUGUUUGUGGAUUUGUUGGGUGUCAAAAAGAAGAAAAUAUUUUGGAUGAGCAAGCUAUUAGACACCGGUUACGUGGAUGUGGGUAGCAAGAUUGUGGAGUGUGUUGCAGAAGAGAUUAGUCUCUUGACAUUUGAUUCCGAUAUUGAUAAACCCAAUGAAUGGCCAAAAAUUGGUUCCUUGUUGAAAGAGGCAUCAGAACUUUUUGCUAAUGAUUUUGGUAUGGCAAUUAUCUGGAUGCAGGCAGUUACUGAGUUGCUUUUGAAAAAAUGUGAAUCUUCCCAUUCAGAUAUAGAGUUUCAUGGUACAAGUGAAUUUGGUUUGAUGAUUUUGGUAUGUCGGAAGCUAUCCAAGUACGUAAUGUACCUUUUCAUUCACCACCCUUCCAUGCUGCCGCUCUCUAUCAGCCCAGCACCUACCCUGGCUCAGGCUCACGAAGUAUAUGAUGAUUUCACCAAGGAUAGUGUUGAGUUGGAGGUAAGCAAGGAAACAGUGGAGGAGGUAGCACGCAUGUGGACGCGGCUACUUGUUUACGCUGCUGGCAAGUCCAAGGCGGCGCCGCAUGUUGCGCUGCUGAGCAGAGGAGGAGAGCUCAUCACAUUCGCAUGGCUAAUCAUGGCCCACUGCGGGUUUGGGGAUACUCGCGUUAGAAGACUUCAACUUACCAAUAUUGAUGCCCACAUAGUGAGAGAAUUAGAUUUUACACCACGACACCUCUUCAAUCUUCCCAUGGAAGAUCAGAUAUCGGACUCUGCUAAUCGGUCAAAAUUGGAUGAUGAGAACGCGAAUGGGAUGACGACUAAGUCAGAUCGCUUCGUGGUUGGUAGCCGUAGCUUUCCAUGAGGGUCCGUCCAUAUGUGGUUUUCUUAUGUGCUUGUUUAUUCUCAGUAAGGUUCAUCUUGCUUGGUCGUGCUAUUUUCUGCUUAUUGUGUCUGUUUACGUAAUUUUAAAUUGUGGAGUUCAUUCAGCGGACUUUUGUGCUAUUCGCUGAAUUAUGAUGUCACAUUGUGGAAUUUGCGAGAUUAUAAGGAAUUAGAAAAAAUGCACCUCACAUUGUGGAAUUUUAUUAGAAAACAAAUACACUUAUAUAAAUGAACGACUGGAGUAUAAGUACCAAUUAAUUCCCAUGAUUUGGAUUGUAAGAUUCCAUCUAGUUUCAGCUACAAUUAUCAGACUUUAUACUAGCUUGAAUUAGAUCGUGGGCCAGUACUACAUAGGACAGCCUUGGUAUAAGAGGUCAACACAAUACAUCUAGUGGGUUCACUCUAAUGUCCUUAGGAUUUUUUGUGUUUGAAUAAUUCUAGUUUGAGAUAAAGGCUGCACAACAUGUCCUCUCCAUGUGCGAGCAAGGCAUGGAUACCCAAGAUAUUAGCUGUGCUAAACUAACACUCUGUACAACCUUGUGAGAUCUGAAUAUACGAGUGCAUGAAGAUUUAUCUGUCAGUUUUAUCUUAUGGCUAUGGUCCACUUUGUUGUCCUCUUGCAGUUGACUGUUCUGCACAGACAAAUCCAUGUUUUGGGAUGUUCCAGGGCUCCUUGUUAGAAUAUUUCCAUGUCUAGUUCAUCAUUUCUUCCAUUUUGGGUUUAACGAAAUGGCGUUCCUUAAUAGUGAUGAUGAGAACUACGACAAGAUUGCGCUACCGAGAUUCGUUGGUCACUCCAAGUUGUGUAUGAACUUGUUUGUUUAUGAUAACUUAAAUAGAUAAUGGUGUGGGUAUAGGCAUAUGACUUCAUACCUAUCAUUAACGAUGACACAUUUUCUCUCAUGUUAUUGCGGUGUUUGGCCAUUAGUCCUUCAGAAAAAAAUGGGCUAUUAUUCUAUUUGUUUCUUUUCACUAUUGACAUGUGGCUUACAUUACUAAAUAGAUUAAGAGGUUUAAGUGUAAUAAGGAUGAGGACUCCAUUGUGUAUGAUGUUUUCUUAUUAUCAUUUAUCUGCACUCACAAACCAUGUUAGAACACAAGGUGUCGUUGUUGAUCCCAGUUGCUAUUUUAUGUUCAUCUGUUGUGACUCGACGACAUGAAGUGAAGAAUGAAAACCCCCACCUCUGGUUAUUUAUAAUCUUGCAGUCUCUCUUUAAUCUUUUGAACGACCUGCCUUUUUCCUGCAGAGUUUCUAUGGAGCUCUCCUGGUAUUCUGCAUUUGUUGCUCGAUCAGUCAAUGAUGCUCUUCAUGAAGCACACACUAUAUACUUAUGCAAACAUUUGGAUUCUCAUUUAGAAAGUUGACGUGUAUGACGUGCUUGGAUGCAUUUUGUUCUUUCCAUAUUGUCCUAUUGGAAGCAUAAGAGCAUGUUUGGGUUGGAGGAGAUAUAGAUUCAAAUCCAGGUUUCGCUUAUGCGACCUACCUCAUCCAACUACUAAGAGCAAAUUCUGUACCAAUUUUCCAUAUUUGCGGUCUUGCGGAGAAUGGAUGGCUAGAUAAGAUGGCCCGGGGGCACCUGCUCUAAAACAUGUUUCCGAAUAAAAAGAGCCCACUUAGUUUCAGCUGCAGUUGUAGUACUUGAUACUAGCUUGAAUCUGAUUGAGGUCGUCACUGGCCAAGUGUAGAUGAUGUUGAUAGUCUAUUCCGAUUUCAAUGUACCAACACUACAUACUACAACUGGUGGUGUGUAUGGGUCGAUAAGGAUGCCCAUAUGUUCCCCCGAUGCGUGCAGGGCCGUUGGGAUUGCCGCGGAGAGCGAUGAGGAGAAGAGCAGGCACUUCGCUUCAAGGCUCUGAUCAGGACACAGAUUGGAGGUCAGUCUCCCUCUAGAGCUUUGCAUUCCUAGUCUCUGAUGUGUCCCUCCGAACAGGUGUUUAAUUAACACUUGCUGAAUAAGGGGAAUUGUUGUUCUCCUUACAGUACAAUUUGGUGACAAAACGUUGCAGUAUGGUUCCUGCUGGAUUGUCAGAUUGUGCUAACAUUCCCAUAGUACUUUGGAUGAUAUUGCUAAGAAUAUGCUUCGUUUG